rnacentral:snoRNA from 1 species
CUUCCCCGGAGGGAGAGCGGCCUGGGGCGAGGGUGGUUUGUGUUGUGGAGCGAUUCCGCUUGGAAGGCGCGUGUGGGCUGAGUGAGUGGACGCGCGAAUGUGUGAGUGUGCGCAUGGGGCGUGCAAGGCGAGUGCGUGUGCCCGUCCCUGAGCCCCUCCCCCCGCCUACACCUUGAUCUUAUUUGAUCGGGUUGUGACCCUAGCCCCGCCGGGCCGAUCCGAGAUGAAAAGUUACCCUCCUGCGAAGCUCCUUCAUCGGGGCGCUGUGCAGCGAGGCCCCUUGGGCGGCGGUAACGCCGUGGUCCCGGAGCCGGUCUUACGGGGCCCGGCGCUCAGAAGUGAUGAAUUGAUCAGAUAGACGAGGCCGGGCUUGUCCCGGGCCAAUGAUUAUCGAGGCGAUUCUGAUCUGA